ACUCAAUCAUGUGCAGAGGGGAAUAGCAGGUUGUGCGUCUCUCUCAGAGACUACUACUGUUACAUGCUGCAGACACGGCCUGCGAUCUUCAGUCCCAUACUCUAUGGAGCACGCCUGCUGCAGCAAUGGGCGGUCGACAUGUACGUCAAGAUUGAGAGUUGUCGGUUGAGGUGGUAUAGGAAGAACCAGACGCAGAUUCGUGCCGACUUGUAUAAAAGAGUUGUUGAUGCGAUCACCACUCCGACAAUCCAUGUAUCCCGAACAUUUGUCCCUCUCUCUCUCUCUGUGUGUGUGUCCCACUGA
rnacentral:rRNA from 1 species